AGAUCAGGACCUGAGCUGAAGUCGGCUGCUUAACCACCUGAGCCGCCCAGGUUAAGUCUUGAAGGAUGAGUAGGAUGUUGCCAAGAAGAGAAGGAAGGGGGUAGAGCUUAAUUCUAAGCAUGGAGACCAGCAAAAGUAAAGGCUUGGGACAUGAGAAAAUUUGGUGUAUCUGGAUUGUGUGAGCUUCCCUGAGGAGAGGCACAUGGGGCAAGAAAUUUGAGGGUGGCCUCCUACCAGCAGCCAGUAAGAAAGCAAGAUGCUCAGUCGGAUGAUCCAGAAAGAACUAAAUCCUGCCAACAACCACAUGAAUUUGGAAACGGAAUCUUCCCUGAUAAGACUCCAGUGCUGGCUAACGUCCUUCUGAGGGGCACCAAAGCAGAGCAGCCAGUUAAGCUGUAUCCAUAUUCAUGAUUCACAGAAACUGUGAGAUAAUAAAUAGGUACUGUUUUUCA